rnacentral:rRNA from 1 species
GGCCUAACACAUGCAAGUCGAACGGAGUCCUUUCGGGGACUUAGUGGGGGACGGGUGAGUAACGCGUGAGAAUCUGCCUUCAGGACGGGGACAACAGUUAGAAAUGACUGCUAAAACCCGAUGUGCCUUUAGGGGUGAAAUAUUUAUAGCCUGAAGAGGAGCUCGCGUCCGAUUAGCUAGUUGGGGGGGUAAAAGCUUACCAAGGCAGCGAUCGGUAGCUGGUCUGAGAGGAUGAGCAGCCACACUGGGACUGAGACACGGCCCAGACUCCUACGGGAGGCAGCAGUGGGGAAUUUUCCGCAAUGGGCGCAAGCCUGACGGAGCAAUACCGCGUGAGGGAGGAAGGCUUUUGGGUUGUAAACCUCUUUUUUCAAGGAAGAAGAAAGUGACGGUACUUGAAGAAUAAGCAUCGGCUAACUCCGUGCCAGCAGCCGCGGUAAUACGGAGGAUGCAAGCGUUAUCCGGAAUCAUUGGGCGUAAAGCGUCCGCAGGUGGCCCGUCAAGUCUGCUGUCAAAGACAGAAGCUCAACUUCUGGUGGGCAGUGGAAACUGGCGAGCUAGAGUACGGUAGGGGUUGAGGGAAUUCCCAGUGUAGCGGUGAAAUGCGUAGAUAUUGGGAAGAACACCAGUGGCGAAGGCGCUCAACUGGGCCGUAACUGACACUCAGGGACGAAAGCUAGGGUAGCGAAAGGGAUUAGAUACCCCUGUAGUCUUAGCUGUAAACGAUGAACACUAGGCGUUGCUUGUAUCGACCCGAGCAGUGCCGUAGCCAACGCGUUAAGUGUUCCGCCUGGGGAGUACGCACGCAAGUGUGAAACUCAAAUGAAUUGACGG